rnacentral:rRNA from 1 species
AGAGUUUGAUCCUGGCUCAGAGCGAACGCUGGCGGCAGGCUUAACACAUGCAAGUCGAGCGGACCUUUCGGGGUCAGCGGCGGACGGGUGAGUAACGCGUGGGAACGUGCCUUCUGGUCUGGAAUAACCCUGGGAAACUAGGGCUAAUACCGGAUACGCCCUUAUGGGGAAAGGUUUACUGCCAGAAGAUCGGCCCGCGUCUGAUUAGCUAGUUGGUGGGGUAACGGCCUACCAAGGCGACGAUCAGUAGCUGGUCUGAGAGGAUGAACAGCCACACUGGGACUGGGACACGGCCCAGACUCCUACGGGAGGCAGCAGUGGGGAAUAUUGGACAAUGGGGGAAACCCUGAUCCAGCAAUGCCGCGUGAGUGAAGAAGGCCUUAGGGUUGUAAAGCUCUUUCGCCCACGACGAUGAUGACGGUAGUGGGAGAAGAAGCCCCGGCUAACUCCGUGCCAGCAGCCGCGGUAAA